UACGUAGGGUCCGAGCGUUGUCCGGAAUUAUUGGGCGUAAAGGGCUCGUAGGCGGUUUGUCGCGUCGGGAGUGAAAACUCAGGGCUCAACCCUGAGCGUGCUUCCGAUACGGGCAGACUAGAGGUAUGCAGGGGAGAACGGAAUUCCUGGUGUAGCGGUGGAAUGCGCAGAUAUCAGGAGGAACACCAGCGGCGAAGGCGGCGCUCUGGGCCGGUACUGACACUGAGGAGCGAAAGCGUGGGUAGCAAACAGG
rnacentral:rRNA from 1 species